rnacentral:rRNA from 1 species
GACGAACGCUGGCGGCGUGCCUAACACAUGCAAGUCGAGCGAGUUAAUCUCCUUCGGGAGUGAAGCUAGCGGCGGACGGGUGAGUAACACGUGGGCAACCUGCCUCAUAGAGGGGAAUAGCCUUCCGAAAGGAAGAUUAAUACCGCAUAAGAUUGUAGCUUCGCAUGAAGUAGCAAUUAAAGGAGCAAUCCGCUAUGAGAUGGGCCCGCGGCGCAUUAGCUAGUUGGUGAGGUAACGGCGCACCAAGGCGACGAUGCGUAGCCGGCCUGAGAGGGUGAUCGGCCACAUUGGGACUGAGACACGGCCCAGACUCCUACGGGAGGCAGCAGUGGGGAAUAUUGCACAAUGGGGGAAACCCUGAUGCAGCAACGCCGCGUGAGUGAUGACGGCCUUCGGGUUGUAAAGCUCUGUCUUCAGGGACGAUAAUGACGGUACCUGAGGAGGAAGCCACGGCUAACUACGUGCCAGCAGCCGCCGUAAAAC